rnacentral:lncRNA from 1 species
ACUGUCUCUGGGUCCAUUUUAGCCCUAGAACUUGCCUAGGUGUUGUAGUUCUUGUGGUGUAGACCAGCUUUCAAUUUAUUUUGAGCCCCAGAGCACUUUAGCCCACAGUGGUGAGGCUUGCAAAAACUCAAGUUCUGACUGCUGGCAUUGGCAGUUUCCCUCUGGCUAAGGGUGGUUGAAAUGCAUCCUCUGUGGUCUGGCGUCAGCUGAGUUUGGUCCAGUUUUUCUUUCUGCUAUAACAAGGGCAGCACUGAGUUCAAUGCCUCACAGUUGCUGGCUCUCCCUCUCCCCAGGGCACAGAAACGCUCUUCAGACCAUACUCCUACUGCCAGGGGAUGGAGAAGGCAUGGUGUCAGCAAUUCAAGACUGUUUUUCCUACCUCUUCAGUGUCUCUUUCGGCAAAAUGAAGUGAAAAUCAGGAACAAGAUGUCUCCAGAGUUAAAUACAUGAAUUAAAUGCAAUUUCAAUGGAUGUCCCAAUGUUUUAAAUUGAAUAACAUGACUUUAAAGAAGAUAUGGGAAACUUCAACUCCCAGAAAAAUGAAGUAGAUACAUACUUCUCUAUUCCUUCCACUAAGUACAACUGAAAACCGUGACACUAUAUAUAAAACAAACAUAAGAAGACUCUGAAAGGCAAGAAUGGGUUUUCUUUUGCCUCCUUUAUUCCAGACUUGUAACUGAAGAAGCCAUCAACCAAGAAAUUUCCAACAGACCCAGAUGGAAAAAGUCCCAGUGAAAGCCUGUUCUUUAGCCAAAGGGGCCAGAAAAGAGCAAGAUAGCAGGACAAGGUAUGUUUAGAUAACAACUACUCUAUUACCCAAGAUUAUCCAAACAAACAGAACCCAGAGAAUGUAUACACAGACACACAGACACACACACACACACACACACACAUAUAUGUGUAUAUGUAUGGUUUUGGCUCAUUCAGGGCUGACAAGUUCCAUGACCUUCCAUUGGCAAGCUUCAGACCCAGGUAAAGUCAAUGUUUCAAUUCAAGUCUAAGAUAGUGAAAAAUACUAUGUCCUACUUUGAAGGCAGUCAGGCAAGAGGAAUUUCUAUUUACUCUAGAGGGUCAGCUUUUUUUUUGUUUUUCUACGUAGGCCUCCAGCUGGUUGGAGGGGCACACUCACACCAUGGAGGGAAAUCUGCUUUCUGUACUCUACUAAUCCAAACAUAACACACCCAGAAUGAUAUCUGACGAAAUCUGUAGAUACCUCUUGGCCUAGUGAAGUCAACAUAUAAAAUUAAUCAUCACAACUGCUUCAGCCAAAUGCCACAGAAAAAACUGUGGCACCACCCACAUCCAUACCAGCAAAGGCUAAGUAAGGAGCCUAGACUUCCACCCUUGCCAGUAUGUAAGGAAACAUCUCAGCUUGUUGGGGCAGAGUUCUAAAAUGGGCACCUUGUGAUAGCUGCUAAGGUCUCAGGGAAUGUGAGGAAUUAAGUGUGAGCCUCCUCCCUGGGUCAGUGCCACUGUACAAUUCCCCAGAAGGUCCCUAUGUUAGUUUCAGGUCACAUGAAGGUUAGAGGGACUCUCUCGUAGCUAGGAUUGCAGGAGUCCACAGUGAGAAUGUGAGCCACUGAGGGCCUCUCACUUACCCUUUCCCUGUGCUGGGGAGUCUUUCUCGGCUCCCAGCUGGUCCCAGCCGAGCAUGCUGCCUCAUUACCUUCUCCUUUUUUGUUUAGGUAUUGCCUGUCACUUUUCUGUUGAAUUCUGGUGUUCUCUCUUGGAUACUCUAUUUGAAGCAUGAUUAUCUACUCAUUAUCUUAGUUCUUGUUACUGGAGGGUGAGAGCAUGAAAUUCCCCUGAUCAGCCAUCUUGAAGCAUGGACAUAAAAAUCUUUGACAAAAAUUAGCAAAUAGGGCCGGGCGUGGUGGCUCACGCCUAUAAUCUCAGCACUUUGGGAGGCCAAGGUGGGUGGAUCACCUGAGGUCAGGAGUUCAAGACCAGUCUGACCAACAUGGUGAAACCCUGUCUCUAUUAAAAAUAUAAAAAUUAGCCAGGCAUGGUGGUGCAUGCCUGUAAUCCUAGCUACUCAGGAGGCUGAGGCAGGAGCACUUGAACCCGGGAGGCGGGGGUUGCAGUGAGCUGAGAUUGCGCCAUUGCACUCCAGCCUGGGCAAC